rnacentral:rRNA from 1 species
UGGCGGCAGGCCUAACACAUGCAAGUCGAGCGCGCCUUCGGGUGAGCGGCGGACGGGUUAGUAACGCGUGGGAACGUGCCCUUCUCUACGGAAUAGCCUCUGGAAACGGAGAGUAAUACCGUAUACGCCCUUUGGGGGAAAGAUUUAUCGGAGAAGGAUCGGCCCGCGUUAGAUUAGGUAGUUGGUGGGGUAACGGCCUACCAAGCCUACGAUCUAUAGCUGGUUUUAGAGGAUGAUCAGCAACACUGGGACUGAGACACGGCCCAGACUCCUACGGGAGGCAGCAGUGGGGAAUCUUAGACAAUGGGCGCAAGCCUGAUCUAGCCAUGCCGCGUGAGUGAAGAAGGCCUUAGGGUCGUAAAACUCUUUCGCCAGAGAUGAUAAUGACAGUAUCUGGUAAAGAAACCCCGGCUAACUCCGUGCCAGCAGCCGCGGUAAUACGGAGGGGGUUAGCGUUGUUCGGAAUUACUGGGCGUAAAGCGCACGUAGGCGGACUGGAAAGUUGGGGGUGAAAUCCCGGGGCUCAACCUCGGAACUGCCUCCAAAACUAUCAGUCUAGAGUUCGAGAGAGGUGAGUGGAAUUCCAAGUGUAGAGGUGAAAUUCGUAGAUAUUUGGAGGAACACCAGUGGCGAAGGCGGCUCACUGGCUCGAUACUGACGCUGAGGUGCGAAAGUGUGGGGAGCAAACAGGAUUAGAUACCCUGGUAGUCCACACCGUAAACGAUGAAUGCCAGUCGUCGGCAAGUAUACUUGUCGGUGACACACCUAACGGAUUAAGCAUUCCGCCUGGGGAGUACGGUCGCAAGAUUAAAACUCAAAGGAAUUGACGGGGGCCCGCACAAGCGGUGGAGCAUGUGGUUUAAUUCGAAGC